rnacentral:tRNA from 1 species
GCCCGCCUAGCUCAAUCGGAUAGAGCGUCAGACUCUUAGGCGGGUUAGAUCCCUUGGAUCAUCUGAAGGCUGCGAGUUCGACCCUCGCGGUGGGCU